rnacentral:ncRNA from 1 species
UGUCUCCUCCACCCCUUCAACAAGGUGGAUUCAAGCCCCGGCGCUCUGGCUCCGGGGCUUUUUUUU